GAUGAAUGCUGGCGGCGUGCCUAAUACAUGCAAGUCGUACGGAAAGGCCCUUCGGGGUACUCGAGUGGCGGACGGCUGAGUAACGCGUGGGAACGUGCCCCAAAAUGAGGGAUAACGCACCGAAAGGUGUGCUAAUACCGCAUAUGGUCUUCGGAUUAAAGCUUCGGCGCUUUGGGAGCGGCCCGCGUACGAUUAGAUAGUUGGUAGGGUAAUGGCCUACCAAGUCGACGAUCGUUAGCUGGUCUGAGAGGAUGAUCAGCCAGACUGGAACUGAGCCACGGUCCAGACUCCUACGGGAGGCAGCAGUAAGGAAUCUUCCACAAUGGGGGCAACCCUGAUGGAGCAACGCCGCGUGCAGGAUGAAGGCCCUCGGGUCGUAAACUGCUUUUAUGAGUGAAGAAUAUGACGGUAACUCAUGAAUAAGCACCGGCUAACUACGUGCCAGCAGCCGCCGUAAAAC
rnacentral:rRNA from 1 species